GAUGAACGCUGGCGGCGUGCCUAAUACAUGCAAGUCGAGCGAACAGACGAGGAGCUUGCUCCUCUGACGUUAGCGGCGGACGGGUGAGUAACACGUGGAUAACCUACCUAUAAGACUGGGAUAACUUCGGGAAACCGGGGCUAAUACCGGAUAAUAUAUUGAACCGCAUGGUUCAAUAGUGAAAGACGGUUUUGCUGUCACUUAUAGAUGGAUCCGCGCCGCAUUAGCUAGUUGGUAAGGUAACGGCUUACCAAGGCGACGAUGCGUAGCCGACCUGAGAGGGUGAUCGGCCACACUGGAACUGAGACACGGUCCAGACUCCUGCGGGAGGCAGCAGUAGGGAAUCUUCCGCAAUGGGCGAAAGCCUGACGGAGCAACGCCGCGUGAGUGAUGAAGGUCUUCGGAUCGUAAAACUCUGUUAUUAGGGAAGAACAAAUGUGUAAGUAACUAUGCACGUCUUGACGGUACCUAAUCAGAAAGCCACGGCUAACUACGUG
rnacentral:rRNA from 1 species